GAUGAACGCUGGCGGCGUGCCUAAUACAUGCAAGUCGAGCGAAGCGGGGACGGGUGAGUAACAGGUGGAUAACCUCCUAUAAGACUGGGAUAAAUUCGGGAAACCGGAGCUAAACCGGAUACUUCUAGUUGGAUCCUAGCUGUAUUAGCUAGUGGGUAAGGUACCGGCUUACCAAGGCAACGAUGCCUAGCCGACCUGAAAGGGUGAUCGGCCACACUGGACCGGAGACACGGCCCAGACUCCUACGGGAGGCAGCAGUAGGGAAUCUUCCGCAAGGGGCGAAAGCCUGUCGGAGCAACGCCGCGGGAGUGAUGAAGGUCUUCGGUUCGUAAACCUCUGUUAUUAGGGAGGCGGUACCUAAUCAGAAAGCCACGGCUAACUACGUGCCAGCAGCCGCGGUAAUUC
rnacentral:rRNA from 1 species